rnacentral:tRNA from 1 species
AAGAUUUUAAGUUAAUUUAAACUAAUUACUUUCAAAGUUUUAAAUAAAAUUUUAAUUUAAUUUUAAAUCUUA